UAACCUUGUGUCAGACCCGCGGGCCAAGGGACAGUCUCAGGUAGACAGUUUCUAUGGGGCGUAGGACUCACAAAAGGUAACGGAGGAGUGAAAAGGUUUCCUCGGGCCAGACGGACAUUGGUCCUCGAGUGCAAAGCCAGAAGGGAGCUUGACUGCAAGACUCACCCGUCGAGCAGAGACGAAAGUCGGCCUUAGUGAUCCGACGGUGCCGAGUGGAAGGGCCGUCGCUCAACGGAUAAAAGUUACUCUAGGGAUAACAGGCUGAUCUUCCCCAAGAGUCCACAU
rnacentral:ncRNA from 1 species